rnacentral:lncRNA from 1 species
AACUGAUACAGUAAAGUAAAUGAAAGCGGUAAAUUUAUUACAUAUUCAUGGGAAUGGGGGUACAGUUUAUCAAAUGAGGAUAUAACACAAUAAUUAAAUGAUAUAAGCUUUUAAAGACAGUUAUAAAAAUAAAAGAAUCUCUUUAAGGCACAAGAGAAAGUCAAGAGACUCGAAAUAAAAAUUUGAAUAUGAACUACAUAAUUUAGCGAUAUGUUAAGCAAUUGUAAAGCGAUUUCUGUAGGAAUCACCCUAUCUGAGUCGGGUCAACAAAACUUUAUGCGUAUAAGCAAUUUCUGAAGUUAAAUUGAAUUUUUAACUCCGAAAUUCCAAUACAUAUUACUUAAGCAAUAUUUUUUAAAUGAAAAUAUAAAAAAAAAACAGUUAAAGUAAAGAAUUUAGCACUACAUUAAGUAAUCUCAAAGCGAUUCAUCUAGGAAUCGUCAUAUUUGAGAUCGAUCAACAAAAUUUUAUACACUUAAACAAUCUUUAAGCGUGUUCGAAAACAAAAUCAAAUUUAUGCUCCGAAUUUGCAAUGCAAUAAAAAUCCAACAACAAAAAUGUUUUACAUUGUUACAAAGCUAUUUACAACACAUACAACACAACACAGCCGAAACAAAUCUGAUAUAUGGCGUAAUCGACAAUCGAAGUCAACUAAACAAAUAACAAACCGAUACACAAUAAAAGAGCAUAAACACUACACUAUCCAAGAUUUAAGAGAGAAAAGACUUUGUAAUAUUUACGCAUCUUAAUUACCUUGAAUAACACACUAUACAUAAUUUUCAUCCAAAAGAGAAAGUAAUUCAUUUUCAUUUCUAGCUCUGUGAUAUUCUUAAUGAAAAGAAUCCUAGUACAACUCAAAAGAGCACAACCAAACAUUAACAUUGGAUCAUCAAAAUCUACAACAAGACCACAUGUAUGAAAUCAAUAAAUCUCUCUUGUGUAUGAUGCUAUUGUAUUAAAGAGGUUUAUGUUCUAACCAUAUAAUCUUAUGCAUUUGCAAAAAUCACAACACAAACAAAUAAAUAAUUUUAAAAAAGAAACUACAAAGACCCAAAUCAAAAAGGUUGAGCCCACCAUUAUCAAAUGGUUCCAGGAUUAAUGGGAAAAACUAACAGCCACCUAAAAAUAAAAUAGAGCUAAAAAAUCCCAAACCUAAUUUCUUAAACAUGAAAGUAACAGUAGAAUAGACAUUGUUCAUAAAUUGUUUUUUAGACUCUCUGUUAAAAUACCUCAAAUCUGAAAUAGCAAUAAAUGUAAGAACAAUACUUCCAUCUAUGUAUACUAUCACUUGUAUAACAAUGUCUCAGACUCAAACAACACCAUAAUUAAGUAAAAAAAACUUCAUAGAUUCACAGAAAAACAAGAUUCUUACCAAAGAGCGUGAUUAUUGGGGCGAGAAAAAAAUGAUAACGAUCAUGGCCGGAGAAGUGAUGGGCGGUUUUCUUGGUGUGGUUACUGUUGCGUGUGAGUUCAAAGUUUUUUUUGAGGUGAGGUGGGCAGAAGGAGUAAUAUGGGUGUUGUGUUUGAGAGAGGAGAAGCUUUGGCCGGACGGUUAUGGUGGUCUUCGGAAAUGAUGUUUUGCGUCUUUCCACUUUGUUUUUCCUAACUUUUUUCCAUUUUCUUAUUUCAAUUGAGAAAGAGAUGUAUGAGAGAAAUUAUCCUCAAGGUGAUACUCAAAGGUAGAGGAAAACGUUAUUCUUCCUCACUCUUUUUUUCUUCUUUUUUUUAAUAAAUUGAAUGAUCUUUGGAGGUUUGAUUGGAACGGAUGGGGCGGUCUGAUGGGUGAGCCCCCUCUCAAUUUCUUAUCUUAACAUUUAAUACAUAUAUG